rnacentral:rRNA from 1 species
AGAGUUUGAUCCUGGCUCAGAAUGAACGCUGGCGGCGUGCUUAACACAUGCAAGUCGUGCGCGAAGGUGGCUUCGGCCACCGGAGAGCGGCGAACGGGUGAGUAACACGUGGGUAAUCUGCCUUGGAGCGGGGGAUAACCUGGGGAAACUCGGGCUAAUACCGCAUACGUCGGCGAGGCUGCGGCCUCGCCAAGAAAGCUGGCCUCUGCUUGCAAGCUAGCGCUCCUUGAGGAGCCCGCGGCUGAUUAGCUAGUUGGUGGGGUAAUGGCCUACCAAGGCGACGAUCAGUAGCCGGCCUGAGAGGGUGAUCGGCCACACUGGGACUGAGACACGGCCCAGACUCCUACGGGAGGCAGCAGUGGGGAAUAUUGGACAAUGGGCGCAAGCCUGAUCCAGCAACGCCGCGUGGAGGACGAAGGUCUUCGGAUCGUAAACUCCUGUCAGGCGGGACGAACGGGCGUCGGCGAACAGUCGGCGCCUCUGACGGUACCGCCAGAGGAAGCCCCGGCUAACUCCGUGCCAGCAGCCGCGGUAAUACGGAGGGGGCGAGCGUUAUUCGGAAUUAUUGGGCGUAAAGGGCGCGUAGGCGGCCGGGUAAGUCAAAGGUGAAAUCCCUCGGCUCAACUGAGGAACUGCCUUUGAAACUGCCUGGCUCGAGGCCGGGAGGGGAGCGGAAUUCCCAAUGUAGCGGUGAAAUGCGUAGAUAUUGGGAGGAACACCGGUGGCGAAGGCGGCUACCUGGACCGGUUCUGACGCUGAUGCGCGAAAGCGUGGGGAGCAAACAGGAUUAGAUACCCUAGUAGUCC